AACGAACGCUGGCGGCAGGCCUCAAACAUGCAAGUCUAGGGGGUAGCAAUACCACCGGCGGACGGGUUCGUAACGCGUGGGAACAUACCUUUCGGUACGGAACAACUGCGGGAAACUGCAGCUGAUACCGUAUACGCCCUUACGGGGAAAGAUUUAUCGCCGAAGGAUUGGCCCGCGCUCGAUUAGCUAGUUGGUGGGGUAAAAGCUCACCAAGGCUACGAUCGAUAGCUGUUCUGAGAGGAAGAUCAGCCACACUGGGACUGAGACACGGCCCAGACUGCUACGGGAGGCAGCAGUUGGGAAUCUUGGACAAUGGGGGAAACCCUGAUCCAGCCAUGCCGCGUGAGUGAUGAAGGCCUUCGGGUUGUAAAACUCUUUCGACGGGGACGAUAAUGACGGUACCCGUAGAAGAAGCUCCGGCUAACUUCGUGCCAGCCGCCGCGGUAA
rnacentral:rRNA from 1 species